GCAGACCUUGGGAGGAGCAGGACUCGCCAGGCCCCAGCCUCAGACCUGCAGGAACGCUCUGUUUGCAGGGCACGCACUAAGGGAAUGUUUCACAACAAUGACUAAACACGUUCUUUUGUAUUAAAGAUGGGUGCUUAUCA